rnacentral:rRNA from 1 species
UACAGAGGGUGCAAGCGUCAAUCGGAAUUACUGGGCGUAAAGCGUGCGUAGGUGGAUACCUAAGUCGAAUGUGAAAUCCCCGGGCUUAACCUGGGAUCUGCAUCCGAUACUGGGUAUCUGGAGUAUGGUAGAGGAAAGUGGAAUUCCCGGUGUAGCGGUGAAAUGCGUAGAUAUCGGGAGGAACAUCAGUGGCGAAGGCGACUUUCUGGACCAAUACUGACACUGAGGCACGAAAGCGUGGGGAGCAAACAGG